GGAUGUGAGGGAGAUCUGGCUGCGACAUCCGUUACCCCAUUGAUCACCAGGAUUGAUUCGGUUGAUCUGGCUGGCUGGGCGGGUGUCCCCUUCCUCCCUCAGUGCUCCAUGUGCGCCCCUCCCGAAGCUGUGCGCUCAGUCAAAGAGGACAACCACCCCCGACAGAGGAGGACCAUUCCUCUGUCAAGAGUAUACAAGUAGCUGCGCUCCCCUGCUAGAACCGCCAAACAAGCGCUCACCUUCAAGAUGAGUGAAGGUGUGAGGGAAUACCCUCCUGCUACACAUCAGAACGGCCAUUC
rnacentral:snRNA from 1 species